CAGCCACCUCUUCCCAGCUGCUUUCCCCAGCCCUAGCAAGAGGGCACCCUCUUCCAAAAGCGAGUCUACCUGGGGAGGAGGUGGCUCCGUGCUGAAGGUAGCUUCCUCCAGUCAAGAAAAAUAGAAUCAACUCCUGCAUGUAGCAGUGGAAUAUCUGGAUACAAAUCAUUCUUUAGGAGAAGGUUGGCUAUGAAGGCAGAGUGGGACCUUCUUCACUGCAGUCCUCCUACAACUUGGACCAGAGGAUUCCAUCUUCGCUGUUACAGUAUCCAUCUCCACAAGGAGCAGAAGUACAUGGGAAGUAGAGAAAACAGAAAUUAGAAAGCUAGAAGCUGUUUUGAAAAAUGCUUUCAGACUUUACAAAACAUAUAUGAAAAGAGAAUUUAUAUUUCCCCAUAUUUGGCUGGAUAUUUAUAUGACAAUUCCAAUAACCAGAUACAAAAUCAAAAUUAAAACUAAGGUACAUUUACCCAUAAAGAAAAUAUAAUGCCAC
rnacentral:lncRNA from 1 species